rnacentral:rRNA from 1 species
UUAAGCGACUAAGCGUACACGGUGGAUGCCCUGGCAGUCAGAGGCGAUGAAGGACGUGCUAAUCUGCGAUAAGCGUCGGUAAGGUGAUAUGAACCGUUAUAACCGGCGAUUUCCGAAUGGGGAAACCCAGUGUGUUUCGACACACUAUCAUUAACUGAAUCCAUAGGUUAAUGAGGCGAACCGGGGGAACUGAAACAUCUAAGUACCCCGAGGAAAAGAAAUCAACCGAGAUUCCCCCAGUAGCGGCGAGCGAACGGGGAGCAGCCCAGAGCCUGAAUCAGUGUGUGUGUUAGUGGAAGCGUCUGGAAAGGCGCGCGAUACAGGGUGACAGCCCCGUACACAAAAAUGCACAUGCUGUGAGCUCGAUGAGUAGGGCGGGACACGUGGUAUCCUGUCUGAAUAUGGGGGGACCAUCCUCCAAGGCUAAAUACUCCUGACUGACCGAUAGUGAACCAGUACCGUGAGGGAAAGGCGAAAAGAACCCCGGCGAGGGGAGUGAAAAAGAACCUGAAACCGUGUACGUACAAGCAGUGGGAGCACGCUUAGGCGUGUGACUGCGUACCUUUUGUAUAAUGGGUCAGCGACUUAUAUUCUGUAGCAAGGUUAACCGAAUAGGGGAGCCGAAGGGAAACCGAGUCUUAACUGGGCGUUAAGUUGCAGGGUAUAGACCCGAAACCCGGUGAUCUAGCCAUGGGCAGGUUGAAGGUUGGGUAACACUAACUGGAGGACCGAACCGACUAAUGUUGAAAAAUUAGCGGAUGACUUGUGGCUGGGGGUGAAAGGCCAAUCAAACCGGGAGAUAGCUGGUUCUCCCCGAAAGCUAUUUAGGUAGCGCCUCGUGAAUUCAUCUCCGGGGGUAGAGCACUGUUUCGGCAAGGGGGUCAUCCCGACUUACCAACCCGAUGCAAACUGCGAAUACCGGAGAAUGUUAUCACGGGAGACACACGGCGGGUGCUAACGUCCGUCGUGAAGAGGGAAACAACCCAGACCGCCAGCUAAGGUCCCAAAGUCAUGGUUAAGUGGGAAACGAUGUGGGAAGGCCCAGACAGCCAGGAUGUUGGCUUAGAAGCAGCCAUCAUUUAAAGAAAGCGUAAUAGCUCACUGGUCGAGUCGGCCUGCGCGGAAGAUGUAACGGGGCUAAACCAUGCACCGAAGCUGCGGCAGCGACGCUGAUGCGUUGUUGGGUAGGGGAGCGUUCUGUAAGCCUGCGAAGGUGUGCUGUGAGGCAUGCUGGAGGUAUCAGAAGUGCGAAUGCUGACAUAAGUAACGAUAAAGCGGGUGAAAAGCCCGCUCGCCGGAAGACCAAGGGUUCCUGUCCAACGUUAAUCGGGGCAGGGUGAGUCGACCCCUAAGGCGAGGCCGAAAGGCGUAGUCGAUGGGAAACAGGUUAAUAUUCCUGUACUUGGUGUUACUGCGAAGGGGGGACGGAGAAGGCUAUGUUGGCCGGGCGACGGUUGUCCCGGUUUAAGCGUGUAGGCUGGUUUUCCAGGCAAAUCCGGAAAAUCAAGGCUGAGGCGUGAUGACGAGGCACUACGGUGCUGAAGCAACAAAUGCCCUGCUUCCAGGAAAAGCCUCUAAGCAUCAGGUAACAUCAAAUCGUACCCCAAACCGACACAGGUGGUCAGGUAGAGAAUACCAAGGCGCUUGAGAGAACUCGGGUGAAGGAACUAGGCAAAAUGGUGCCGUAACUUCGGGAGAAGGCACGCUGAUAUGUAGGUGAAGUCCCUUGCGGAUGGAGCUGAAAUCAGUCGAAGAUACCAGCUGGCUGCAACUGUUUAUUAAAAACACAGCACUGUGCAAACACGAAAGUGGACGUAUACGGUGUGACGCCUGCCCGGUGCCGGAAGGUUAAUUGAUGGGGUCAGCGCAAGCGAAGCUCUUGAUCGAAGCCCCGGUAAACGGCGGCCGUAACUAUAACGGUCCUAAGGUAGCGAAAUUCCUUGUCGGGUAAGUUCCGACCUGCACGAAUGGCGUAAUGAUGGCCAGGCUGUCUCCACCCGAGACUCAGUGAAAUUGAACUCGCUGUGAAGAUGCAGUGUACCCGCGGCAAGACGGAAAGACCCCGUGAACCUUUACUAUAGCUUGACACUGAACAUUGAGCCUUGAUGUGUAGGAUAGGUGGGAGGCUUUGAAGUGUGGACGCCAGUCUGCAUGGAGCCGACCUUGAAAUACCACCCUUUAAUGUUUGAUGUUCUAACGUUGACCCGUAAUCCGGGUUGCGGACAGUGUCUGGUGGGUAGUUUGACUGGGGCGGUCUCCUCCUAAAGAGUAACGGAGGAGCACGAAGGUUGGCUAAUCCUGGUCGGACAUCAGGAGGUUAGUGCAAUGGCAUAAGCCAGCUUGACUGCGAGCGUGACGGCGCGAGCAGGUGCGAAAGCAGGUCAUAGUGAUCCGGUGGUUCUGAAUGGAAGGGCCAUCGCUCAACGGAUAAAAGGUACUCCGGGGAUAACAGGCUGAUACCGCCCAAGAGUUCAUAUCGACGGCGGUGUUUGGCACCUCGAUGUCGGCUCAUCACAUCCUGGGGCUGAAGUAGGUCCCAAGGGUAUGGCUGUUCGCCAUUUAAAGUGGUACGCGAGCUGGGUUUAGAACGUCGUGAGACAGUUCGGUCCCUAUCUGCCGUGGGCGCUGGAGAACUGAGGGGGGCUGCUCCUAGUACGAGAGGACCGGAGUGGACGCAUCACUGGUGUUCGGGUUGUCAUGCCAAUGGCACUGCCCGGUAGCUAAAUGCGGAAGAGAUAAGUGCUGAAAGCAUCUAAGCACGAAACUUGCCCCGAGAUGAGUUCUCCCUGACUCCUUGAG